rnacentral:rRNA from 1 species
GACGAACGCUGGCGGCGUGCUUAACACAUGCAAGUCGAACGGUGAAGCGCCUUCCUUUUUGGUGGGUGUGGAUGAGUGGCGAACGGGUGAGUAACACGUGAGUAACCUGCCCCCUUCUUCUGGAUAACCGCAUGAAAGUGUGGCUAAUACGGGAUAUUCUGGGUCUGUCGCAUGAUGGGUCUGGGAAAGAUAUUGUUUCGGUGGGGGAUGGGCUCGCGGCCUAUCAGCUUGUUGGUGGGGUGAUGGCCUACCAAGGCGGUGACGGGUAGCCGGCCUGAGAGGGUGGACGGUCACACUGGGACUGAGACACGGCCCAGACUCCGACGGGAGGCAGCAGUGGGGAAUAUUGCACAAUGGGCGCAAGCCUGAUGCAGCGACGCCGCGUGAGGGAUGGAGGCCGUCGGGUUGUGAACCUCUUUCGCCAGUGAAGCAGGCCUGCCUCGUUUGUGGGUGGGUUGACGGUAGCUGGAUAAGAAGCGCCGGCUAACUACGU